AGCCUCUGUAGCUAGCUGUGUGUGUGUGUGUGUGUGUGUGUGUGUGUGUGUGAGCAGGCUUUGGUUGUCAUGGCAAUCAGGGGAGCCCACAGCAGCUGCGCACGCUCUCUCUGUCUCUAACUCCUCAGAGAGACAGAAAACAUUUAAAAUGAAUCCCCUCAAAAGCAUGGCCAGGAACGACCGAAAUGAAAACCGAAAAGACCGUGAGCGUCGUCAUCUUGUUGACUGUAGCACUGCCGAGUUUCAGUGGCUAAAGUUAAAAAAUGUGACCUGGGGAGAUUGAGAGAGAAGAGGUUCAACGAGCGUUUUUCAGGAUUCCUCCUCUAAAAUUAACAUGGGAGUAGAUGGGGCCGUGAGAGGGCGUUGCUGGCGCAUCAGUGCGUUUCCCGCCAAAACUAUUUGUCUGACAGCUUCAGCAGUAGUAUCACUGCGACCCCAACGAAUUUACCUACGUUUCUAUCUAUAAAUUAUUUCUGUAGAGUGAAAUUUGUGGCCAUGACAGCAGUUUACAAAUUUAUUUUUCGACAAAUUUUUCUCUCUCCCCACACUCUAGCGAUGAUGUCACGCACUCUGGCGGUUUUUUUCAGUUGGAGGUUCUCGCAAUACACACCCAUUCAUUUUUUGGACCGGUUUUUGGCGAUUUACCGGCAAACCGUUUGGCGAAAUUCUUAGAAAAGUCAUAGCACACCAUUCCCGGCCGAGCCGCACGUUUUGAUACCUUAUUUGUGUAUGUGCGACAAAAGCUGCGGGAGAAGAAGCGCGCCGAAAAACGUACGGAAGAAUAAUAAUAACUAGAAAAUUCCUAAAGCAAUUUUGAUUGUGCCUUGCUCUGGCCCAUAUGUUAAUACCAUGUCUUGCUCUCUAGCACGCUAGCGCUAGCAUAUUAAUACCAUGUAAUUCUCUUUAGCUAGAGCUAGCACACAUAAACACAUUAACCAAAGGUAGCGCUUAGCUACGUGCUAAUCGCUAGCUAAGCGCUAAUCGCUAGCUACGUGCUAAUCGCUAGCUAAGCGCUAAUCGCUAGCUACAUGCUAAUCGCUAGCUAACCGCUAAUCGCUAGCUACAUGCUAAUCGCUAGCUACAUGCUAAUCGCUAGCUAAGCGCUAAUCGCUAGCUGUGCGCUAAUCGCUAGCCGUGCGCUAAUCGCUAGCUAAGUGCUAGCUUUGGUUAAUGUGUUUAAUUGUAUUAUGCUCCUGAAGGAGUGCUAAUGUAAAUUAAGGAACAGCUCAUAGUAGGGUAAAAUAUUUAAGGUGUAUUGUUCUUAUUUUGUGUUAAUAUUAAAAUCAUUCAGCUUUAAA